rnacentral:rRNA from 1 species
UACAAAGGGGGCUAGCGUUGCUCGGAAUCACUGGGCGUAAAGGGCGCGUAGGCGGCCAUUCAAGUCAGGGGUGAAAGCCUGUGGCUCAACCACAGAAUUGCCUUUGAUACUGUUUGGCUAGAGACCGGAAGAGGUAAGUGGAACUGCGAGUGUAGAGGUGAAAUUCGUAGAUAUUCGCAAGAACACCAGUGGCGAAGGCGGCUUACUGGUCCGGUUCUGACGCUGAGGCGCGAAAGCGUGGGGAGCAAACAGG